rnacentral:rRNA from 1 species
CGGAGGGUGCGAGCGUUGUCCGGAAUCACUGGGCGUAAAGGGCGCGUAGGCGGCCUGAUAAGUAGGGGGUGAAAUCCUGCGGCUUAACCGCAGGGCUGCCUUCUAAACUGUCAGGCUGGAGCACAGUAGAGGCAGGUGGAAUUCCCGGUGUAGCGGUGGAAUGCGUAGAGAUCGGGAAGAACAUCAGUGGCGAAGGCGGCCUGCUGGGCUGUUGCUGACGCUGAGGCGCGACAGCGUGGGGAGCAAACAGGAUUAGAUACCCUGGUAGUCCACGCCGUAAACGAUGGGCACUAGGCGUCGGGGGGAGCGACCCUCCCGGUGCCGUCGCUAACGCAGUAAGUGCCCCGCCUGGGGAGUACGGCCGCAAGGCUG